GGGGUGGUGGAAUGGUAGAAUGUGUGCUUAGCAUGCACGAGGUCCUGGGUUCAAUCCCCAGUCCCUCCA
rnacentral:tRNA from 1 species